UAGGAGAGAAGACACCAUAAGCAGAAAAGUAUGACAAGCCAGCGGGGGUUCUGGGUGUUUUUCUGGAAUGGAUUGUGGAAUGAGAAUGCAUUGCGGUCCGGUCAAUUCCAGCUGCGAGGCUGCUUCCAUGUCUUGUCCUCGUCCUCCACCUCUCCUUCCUCCUCACCUUCCCUCCUCUUCCGCUCUCCUCUGGUAUAAAUCUUCCCUCCCUCUCUCUAACUCUGCCCCUCGCGCCGCCUCUCCGCCACCGGAGAUCUCCAUCCCCCGGGGAGAGAUAGAGGGAGACAAGAGAGAGAGAGAGAGAGAGAGAGAGAGAGAGAGAGANNN
rnacentral:lncRNA from 1 species